UGUCAAGCUACUAAGAGUCAUUGGUGGAUGAUUUGGCGCUUAUAGGCUAUGAAGGACGUGGCAAGCUGCGAUAAGCCUCGGGGAGCUGCAAUCGAGCUUUGAUCCGGGGAUCUCCGAAUGGGGCAACCUUACACCGAUCACGGUGUAGAUCCUACCUGAAUUCAUAGGGUAGGGUAGCGAAACGGGGGGAAUUGAAACAUCUUAGUACCCCUAGGAAAAGAAAGAUCAUCGAUUCCGUCAGUAGCGGCGAGCGAACGCGGAACAGCCUAAACCUUAUGGAUGUCAAGCUUCAGGGCGUUGUCCAUAGGGUGUCGUGGGGCUCAAUAGUCGGAGACCUGAAUCUCUGGCGGGAAGAAAUCUUGUUUGACUUUAGCGGAACGGUCUGGAAAGACCGAUCCAAGAGGGUGAUAGUCCCGUACGUUAAAGAGUCAAGCACUUCUCCUUUGAGUACCCCAAGUAUCACGCGAUAAGUGGAACCGCGUGAGAAUCUGGGAGAACCAUCUUCUAAGGCUAAAUACUCAUAAGCGACCGAUAGUGAACAAGUACCGUGAGGGAAAAUUGAAAAGAACCCCUGUUAGGGGAGUGAAAUAGAACCUGAAACCAAUCGACUUACAGGCGGUGGAAGGGCUAUGCCGUAGUCGCAAGAUUACGGAAUGCCUGACUGCGUGCCUUUUGCAUAAUGAUCCGGCGAGUUAUUAAAUGUGGCGAGGCUAAGCCCUUUAGGGGGUGGAGCCGUAGCGAAAGCGAGUCUGAAUAGGGCGUCUAGUCCCAUUUAAUAGACCCGAAACGAAGUGAGCUUACCAUGGCCAGGAUGAAGCGGGGGUAAAACCUCGUGGAGGUCCGAACCGGUGUAUGUUGAAAAAUGCUCGGAUGAGCUGUGGUAAGGGGUGAAAGGCUAAUCAAACUUCGUAAUAGCUGGUUCUCCUCGAAACAUCUUUUGGGAUGGUCUGGUGUAGUAGUCGCGAGAGGUAGAGAACUCAAUGGGCUAGGGAACUUAACCGUUUACCGAUCCCAAGGAAACUCCGAAUGCUCGUGCCGUAAUCACUGGAAUCAGACUGCGGGGGAUAAUCUCCGUGGUCGAGAGGGAAACAACCCAGAUCGCCAGCUAAGGUCCCUAAAUCAAUGCUAAGUGGUAAAGGAUGUAAGAAUACGUAGACAACCAGGAUGUUGGCUUAGAGGCAGCCACCAUUUAAAGAGUGCGUAACAGCUCACUGGUCAAGUGUUCUUGCGCCGAAGAUGAUCGGGGCUCAAGCAUUGUACCGAAGCUGCGGAUGUCAACCCCCUCCGGGGCGGUUGGCGUGGUAGAGGAGCAUUCCCAGGGCAUCGAAGCGGAAGCGGAAGCAUCCGUGGAGCGCUGGGAAGAGAUUAUGCCGGAAUGAGUAGCGAUAAAACGGGUGUAAAACCCGUUCGCCGCAAACCCAAGGUUUCCCGGGGAAGGUUAAUCCGCCCGGGGUUAGUCGGUCCUAAGUCAAGGCCAGAUAGGCGUAGAUGAUGGAUAGCAGGUUUAAUAUUCCUGCACCAAUGGUGUUGCGUUACGAACUGGAAAGUGCCAAGGAGGCUAAACGAUCGCGCGACUGGAUGUGCGCGUCCAAACUUGUAGCUGUACCCGCAAGGGUACGGUGAGGAGUGUUAGGGAGCUCGACCUUCGGGAAGAGCGAACUCGUUGACGCCAAACUUGCGAGAAAUGCUUUCCGUGUGAGUGGCGCCAUUGACCGUACCGUAAUCGGACACACGUGGGAAGGGUGAAAAUCCUAAGGCGCUCGAGAUAAUCCUCGCUAAGGAACUAGGCAAAAUAGCCCCGUACCUUCGGAAGAAGGGGUGCCUGAGUAGGGUAACCGUCAAGGACGCCCGAAAAGGUCGCAGUAAAAGGGGCCAGCCGACUGUUUAACAAAAACACAGCUCUCUGCUAAGUCGACAAGACGAUGUAUAGGGAGUGACACGUGCCCGGUGCCGGAAGGUCAAGCGGAGAGGUCAUUGCGUCGCAAGACGUGAGAAGCUUCGAAGUUAAGCCCCGGUAAACGGCGGCCGUAACUAUAACGGUCCUAAGGUUAACAAACUCGCUAGCCUUAGUAAAAUUGAACCAUAUGCGGGAAACUCCUCAAACAGCUUUCUGAUACUCGUCUGUGCAUUGAACAGGCAGUAAAAAUUCAGAAGACAUGGGGACAAUCCGCAGGGAAGACUCCUUCGCCAGAAAGCGUUGGCGAAUCCGCCUCCGGCGGAAAAGGAUAAAAAGUAUGGAGAACCCUCAGAGACUUUACGUUCAAUCCUGCACGACGGACUUGCCACCCGAAUGGAUAUCCGGUUUUGUGGACGGCGAAGGUUGUUUCUUCGUCGGAAUCAAUAAACAUCCGGAAAUGACAUCAGGGUAUCAGGUCCUGCCAGAAUUCACGGUUGUUCAACAUGUGCGAGAUGUACAGAUCCUGCAUGCAAUCAAGAAAUUUUUUGGAUGCGGCGUCGUGAGAAGUAAUCACGACGACAGGAUGGCAUAUCGCGUACGUUG
rfam:Omnitrophica bacterium RIFOXYB12_FTLL_50_7 rifoxyb3_full_scaffold_633, whole genome shotgun sequence.